GAUGAACGCUGGCGGCGUGCCUAAUACAUGCAAGUCGAGCGAACAGAUAAGGAGCUUGCUCCUUUGACGUUAGCAGCGGACGGGUGAGUAACACGUGGGUAACCUAUCUAUAAGACUGGAAUAACUCCGGGAAACCGGGGCUAAUGCCGGAUAACCUGUUGAACCGCAUGGUUCUACAGUGAAAGGCGGCUGUGCUGGCACUUAUCGAUGGACCCUCGCCGUAUUAGCUAGUCGGGGAGGUAACGGCUCACCAAGGCAACGAUACGUAGCCGACCUGAGAGGGUGAUCGGCCACACUGGAACUGAGACACGGUCCAGACUCCUACGGGAGGAAGCAGUAGGGAAUCUUCCGCAAAGGGCGAAAGCCUGCCGGAGCAACGCCGCGUGAGUGAUGAAGGUCUUCGGAUCGUAAAACUCUGUUAUUAGGGAAGAACAAUUGCGUAAGUAACUGUGCGCGUCUUGACGGUACCUAAUCAGAAAGCCACGGCUAACUACGUG
rnacentral:rRNA from 1 species